rnacentral:rRNA from 1 species
CACGUAGGGGGGCAAGCGUUGUCCGGAUUUAUUGGGCGUAAAGAGCUCGUUAGGUGGCUAAGUAAGUCGGAUGUUAAAUCCCCAGGCUCAACCUGGGACACCACCCGAUACUGCUUUGGCUAGAGUCCGGUAGGGGAGCAUGGAAUUCCUGGUGUAGCGGUGAAAUGCGCAGAUAUCAGGAGGAACACCAGCGGCGAAGGCGGUGCUCUGGGCCGGAACUGACACUGAGGAGCGAAAGCGUGGGGAGCGAACAGG